UUGGCCAAUGUGCCUGCUGAAACCAUACUGGAAAGUUAAAGUUAUACAAACAAGCUGCUUGUAAAGAUGUUGAGAAAUGUCAAGGCAUUAAUCUCCUCCUUGCUGUAAUCUUUUACAGGGUUAUUGACAAAAUGUUG